rnacentral:rRNA from 1 species
AGUGAACGCUGGCGGUAGGCCUAACACAUGCAAGUCGAACGGCAGCACAGCAAGAGCUUGCUCUUACGGGUGGCGAGUGGCGGACGGGUGAGGAAUACAUCGGAAUCUACUUUUUCGUGGGGGAUAAUGUAGGGAAACUUACGCUAAUACCGCAUACGACCUACGGGUGAAAGCAGGGGAUCUUCGGACCUUGCGCGAUUGAAUGAGCCGAUGUCGGAUUAGCUAGUUGGCGGGGUAAAGGCCCACCAAGGCGACGAUCCGUAGCUGGUCUGAGAGGAUGAUCAGCCACACUGGAACUGAGACACGGUCCAGACUCCUACGGGAGGCGGCAGUGGGGAAUAUUGGACAAUGGGCGCAAGCCUGAUCCAGCCAUACCGCGUGGGUGAAGAAGGCCUUCGGGCUGUAAAGCCCUUUUGUUGGGAAAGAAAAGCAGCAGGUUAAUACCCCGCUGUUCUGACGGUACCCAAAGAAUAAGCACCGGCUAACUUCGUG